rnacentral:rRNA from 1 species
UACGUAGGGGGCAAGCGCUGUCCGGAAUCAUUGGGCGUAAAGAGCGCGUAGGCGGUCCGGUAAGUCCGCUCUGAAAGUCCGGGGCUCAACCCCGGGAGGCGGGCGGAUACUGUCGGGCUAGAGUCCGGAAGAGGCGAGUGGAAUUCCUGGUGUAGCGGUGAAAUGCGCAGAUAUCAGGAGGAACACCAAUUGCGAAGGCAGCUCGCUGGGACGUUACUGACGCUGAGACGCGAAAGCGUGGGGAGCAAACAGG